UCCUUCUCUCCACCCCCCGGGGUGCGGCAUUGGAGCCCAAGCUGGUCUCGACCAACUGGCUCUCAAAAAUAAUGACGGCGUCCGUGGGACCCUCGAUACACUGAGUUCUUCCGGGAGCACGUAUCGAGUUGCAAGGUCCCUCCGGGCCGGUCUGAACCCAAUCUUUUUUCUCA
rnacentral:misc_RNA from 1 species